AGGAGGUACUAAGACCUGCUAACUCUUUAACCUGGCACCAACCACCAGCCU
rnacentral:tRNA from 1 species